AGGCAAAUGGGGAUAACUCUCCAAAAGUUCUGCCUUGUGCAGGGCAAAGCUUUGCUGUCCUCAUGCACUCUUAGGAUUUCUCCUAACUUCAGUUUCUGCAAUCACCUCAGCUAAUUGUUGCUUUUUAUUUUGACAGGAGACAGACUCACGUCCUUUCCCACCAGAGAAAUGAGCCCUCGCUGUUGCUAGCAGUGCUGAACUAAGGUGUCAUGCAGUGGAAGAGUUGGGGAUCUCCCAAUAACUCAGUCUCUGAUAAAAGAGACUAACAGCCUGCAGUCAGGUUGGCCAGUAUGCACUGUGAAUGAGCAAAACAAGGAAAAGACAAUUCAACAGUGGAAAUAAAAUGUCAAACAUAAUGAGAGCCUGAUCACUAUGCAGAAGAAAUGUUGGCGUGAAAGGUGUUAGAGGGAUUUAGCCUAUUUAAGGGGCAUAGAUUAUAAAGAACAUCCUCCAGCUCACCUGUUACUCUGCUUUGGAAACAGAUGGCCAGAACAAAGACUGCCAACAUUACCAUGGAAACACGCAAAAAUAAAGACUUUCCCAGCCUUGUGAGAGCACACCUGCAAGAACAAGAAUUGCCUGUCAGAAGUGACUCUCCUUCAUUAUUGGUGUCACCUAAGGACAUUUUUUGUGGGCUGGAGCUGGUAUUUAUAAGAAGAAUUCUUCCUAGAAGUGCAAAGCUACUAUCAGCAGGAACAAUGGUGCUUCUCAUGUGGCCUGUUCACUCCAGCUAUUAA
rnacentral:lncRNA from 1 species